AAAGGGUUUCAUAUCUAAGGGUUGUGAUAGGNUUGGGUAUGAAACCCAUUUGGGCGAGAGUAGUACUAGGAUGGGUGACCUCCUGGGAAGUCCUCGUGAAAGGGUUUC
rnacentral:rRNA from 1 species